ACUGGGACUGAGACACGGCCCAGACUCCUACGGGAGGCAGCAGUAGGGAAUUUUCGGCAAUGGGGGAAACCCUGACCGAGCAAUGCCGCGUGAAUGAUGAAAUUCUUCGGAAUGUAAAAUUCUGUUGUGAGGGAAGAAAGGUAGUAUCAGGAAAUGGGUAUUACUUGACGGUACCUUACUAGAAAGCCCCGGCUAACUAUGUGCCAGCAGCCGCGGUAAUACAUAGGGGGCGAGCGUUAUCCGGAAUUAUUGGGCGUAAAGCGUGCGUAGGCGGCCGUUUAAGUCUGUCGUGAAAGCCCACAGCUUAACUGUGGAGGGUCGAUGGAAACUGGAUGGCUUGAAUCUAGAAGAGGUAAGUGGAAUUCCAUGUGUAGCGGUAAAAUGCUUAGAUAUAUGGAGGAACACCAGUGGCGAAGGCGGCUUACUGGUCUAGCAUUGACGCUGAGGCACGAAAGCGUAGGUAGCAAACAGGAUUAGAUACCCUGGUAGUCUACGCUGUAAACGAUGAGCACUAAGUGUCGGACGUAAGUUCGGUGCUGUAGUUAACGCAUUAAGUGCUCCGCCUGGGGAGUACGGUCGCAAGACUGAAACUCAAAGGAAUUGACGGGGACUCGCACAAGCGGUGGAGCAUGUGGUUUAAUUCGACGCAACGCGAAAAACCUUACCAGGCCUUGACAUCCCUAUGACCGCUCUAGAGAUAGAGUUUCCUCUUCGGAGGUAUAGGUGACAGGUGGUGCAUGGUUGUCGUCAGCUCGUGUCGUGAGAUGUUGGGUUAAGUCCCGCAACGAGCGCAACCCUUAUCAUUAGUUGCUAACAUUAAGUUGAGCACUCUAAUGAGACUGCCAGCGACAAGUUGGAGGAAGGUGGGGAUGACGUCAAAUCAUCAUGCCCCUUAUGGCCUGGGCUACACACGUGCUACAAUGGCCGGUACAAAGAGCAGCGAAAUUGUGAAAUGGAGCAAAUCUCAAAAAGCCGGUCUCAGUUCGGAUUGUAGUCUGCAACUCGACUACAUGAAGUUGGAAUCGCUAGUAAUCGUGGAUCAGCAUGCCACGGUGAAUACGUUCUCGAGUCUUGUACACACCGCCCGUCACACCAUGAGAGUUUGUAAUACCCGAAGCCGGUGGCUUAACCGCAAGGAGAGAGCCGUCUAAGGUAGGACAGAUGAUUGGGGUGAAGUCGUAACAAGGUAUCCCUACGAGAACGUGGGGAUG
rnacentral:rRNA from 1 species